rnacentral:rRNA from 1 species
GCAACCCCUACUUCUCAGUUGCCAGCACAUAAUGGUGGGCGACUCUGUGGAGACUGCCCGGGUUAACCGGGAGGAAGGUGGGGAUGACGUCAAGUCAUCAUGGCCCUUACGCCUAGGGCUACACACGUACUACAAUGGUGGGUACAAAGGGCAGCGAAACCGCGAGGUCGAGCGAAUCUCAAAAAACCCAUCAUAGUCCGGAUUGCAGUCUGCAACUCGACUGCAUGAAGUUGGAAUCGCUAGUAAUCCCGGAUCAGCAUGCCGGGGUGAAUACGUUCCCGGGCCUU